GUCUAUGGAGAGAAAGGGGGAGGGAGGUGAAGAGGAGAGGGUAGCAGUUGAGGUGCGGUCUACGGAGAGAAAGGGGGAGGAAGGUGAAGAGGAGAGGGUAGCAGUUGAGGUGCAGUCUAUGGAGAGAAAGGGGGAGGGAGGUGAAGAGGAGAGGGUAGCAGUUGAGGUGCGGUCUACGGAGAGAAAGGGGGAGGGAGGUGAAGAGGAGAGGGUAGCAGUUGAGGUGCAGUCUAUGGAGAGAAAGGGGGAGGGAGGUGAAGAGGAGAGGUUAGCAGUUGAGGUGCGGUCUACGGAGAGAAAGGGGGAGGGAGGUGAAGAGGAGAGGGAAGCAGUUGAG
ensembl:lncRNA